CGAAGAGAUUCAGUCUGCCGCACAGAAUUCAAACACAACCAUUCCAGAGAUUCCUUUGAAAAUCAGAUUAAAGUUCUAACAAGUGUCCCAGCUCGCCGGCUGGGAGACGGCAGCAUCAGGCUAGAGGCACCGCCGCUCCUCGCCCUGCUGGGGCCAGAAACCCCAGCCAUGCCGUCGCCUUCUGGCCUCCUCCGCUGAGAGCGGCAGAUCGGGUCCCGCUGACAGAUCGGAGGGUAAAAGUGCAAACGUCGCGGCUCCUGGCGUUGGGCUGAGCGACGGGAACGUCUCUUGCCGCUGCUGCCAGGGAAUUUUGGGUCACCAAAAGAAGGGCUCACUGUCUGGCGGGAACUGAGAAGAAUCAUCACCCUAAAUCUGGCCACUCCGGUUUCCUCGUCCUGGGCCAGGGCUUCUCCGACUUGGGCCCGCAUCAGAACCACCGGGAGGGCUGGGUGAAGGACCGACCGCCCCCCCCCCGCCCCCCGCGGCCUCACUCCACGAUUUCUUGCGAGUUGCUUUUCCAAGAAGCCCCGAGGUGAUGCUGAGGCUGCUGGGGCCCGGGAGCCCCCCCCCCGCCCCGAGAACUGCUGCCUUGAACGGCGCGCCUGCCCGUCCCUGCGUUUGUCCCCAGAGCCAGGUCCUCGGCGCUCUCCCCGCUCCACUUUUCACAGUCGCCUUGAGGGACAGAAGGAGUUACCGUGACCGCGAAAGGCCGUCGGGGGUCUCCCCAGCCCACCGCGAGCGACCGCAGGGACAGCCAGAGGGCGGGCCGGGGGGGAAAGGCCGAGGCUGGCGCCCGCGACCCCCGCGGGGACGGCGACCCGGGUCCGCGCCGCGGGGAGCGGGGGGAGGGCCGAGCGCGGGCGCGCGCGCGGAGUCGCCGCGGGGCCGCGGGGCCAGGACGUUUCCAGCCCCGGCCCAUAUUUGGAGAAAGGCUUUCAGGGCUCCGUCAUCCAGCUCCGGGGGCCGGCGGCCGCCACCGGGAGCGGGCCGGGCCACCGCGCGGCCG